UAACGCGUGGGUAACCUGCCUUAUACAGGGGGAUAACAGUUAGAAAUGACUGCUAAUACCGCAUAANCGCACAGUACCGCAUGGUAGUGUGUGAAAAACUCCGGUGGUAUAAGAUGGACCCGCGUCUGAUUAGCCAGUUGGCGGGGUAACGGCCCACCAAAGCGACNAUCAGUAGCCGACCUGAGAGGGUGACCGGCCACAUUGGGACUGAGACACGGCCCAAACUCCUACGGGAGGCAGCAGUGGGGAAUAUUGCNCAAUGGGGGAAACCCUGAUGCNNCAACGCCGCGUGAGUGAANAANUAUUUCGGUAUGUAAAGCUCUAUCANNAGGGAAGAAAGACGGNACCUGACCAANAAGCCCCGGCUAACUACNUGCCANCAGCCGCGGUAAUACGUANGGGGCAAGCGUUAUCCGGAUUUACUGGNUGUANAGGGAGCGUAGACGGCAGGGCAAGUCUGGAGUGAAAGGCAGGGGCCCAACCCCUGGACUGCUCUGGAAACUGUCCGGNUGGANUGCAGGAGAGGUAAGNGGAAUUCCUAGUGUAGCGGUGAAAUGCGUAGAUAUUAGGAGGAACACCAGUGGCNAAGGCGGCUUACUGGACUGUAACUGACGUUGAGGCUCGAAAGCGUGNGGAGCANACAGGAUUAGAUACCCUGGUANUCCACGCCGUAAACGAUGAUCACCAGGNGU
rnacentral:rRNA from 1 species